rnacentral:lncRNA from 1 species
UAGAGGAGGUGAUCUUUCUAUGUACAUUCAACAACGACAAGGGAGAAUUCCAGAAGCAACUGCAAAACAUUUUAUGCAGCAACUUGGUUUGUCUGAACCUUCUAGCUUCUUUUGCCCAUCUUCCUUUUUUGGCAUGUAGAGUGAGUGAUUUUUUCCUAUUACAUGAACUCAAAACAUAUUAAUGUUCAUGUUCAUUUCUUCGCUGCAGCAUCUGGUUUAAAGUCUGCACCUUCUAUUUCUUUUGCCCAACUUCCUUUUUUCGCAUGUAGAGUGAAUGACCUUUUACUAUUACAUGAACAUAAAAUUAUUAACGUUCAUGCUCAUUUAUUCGCUG